rnacentral:tRNA from 2 species
GGGCCUGUAGCUCAACGGCAGAGCGGUCGGCUCAUAACCGAUUGGUUCCAGGUUCGAAUCCUGGCGGGCCCA